ensembl:lncRNA
CCAGCAUGAAAAUUACAUUCUGUGCCUAGAAAAUGUGGAUCUGACGGCAGUGAAGAGUAUAACAUGGUUGCUUGUCGUCUCUAUUCCCCUUCUCCUCAUUGCUCGCUAUGCAUGCAUCUGUUGGACUCAUUCACCCUUACCUUUAAACUCCUAGACUGCAAGCAGGGCUCAAGGCAGAAGCCUUCAGGUUGUCCUGCAGCUGAGUGCUCAUAGCUGUAUUUGCUCUUAGGAUAAACACUGCUUUUUAGCUACUAUUCCCAACAGAAGGAUUUGUGUUGAGUGGGCAGUUAUCCCUUUUCCACAGCAGUAUAAAAUCCACAGCAGUAGAUAACCCACAGUAGUAGAAAACCCACAGUAGUAGAAAACCCACAGGCCCACUGAGUGUAACCUGAGGCAGAAACAGGUGAAAGCUUUAUGAUUUGCCUGUUCUAUCGAUAGUUACACUUCAAACUCAGUUCCAAGUCUGCCAGCAUUUUGCUUAUGGAGGAAACCUUGAACCCAUAGCCAAAAAUACCACUGGACUGUAAGAAUCAGUAGCAAGACACAUAGAUACUCAUUUCUCAAGGGAUUAGGAUGGAGAACAGGAUGAGUGGAGGCAAGAGGACUGUAAGGCCUCUGCCUUUCUGUGUCCUAAUAAACUCUGCCCAGUGGGAGGGCAUUUGGCACAUGGUGUGAUGAGGAGAGGCCACUCACUGUAGCCACUGCUGGAACAACAUCAGGAGCCCUCAGCCUUUGAGAUGGAUCUUUAAUAAAUAGUCUCCCUACCCCAUUUCAGGCAUCUUACUGAGUUGAUAGCUUUGCCAGCUCUCCAAAGAUUAAGCAGAGCCGCAGGAAUGCCAGGCUAUCAGCAAGCCCAGAUAAACUUCAAUAAUGGAUAACUACUGCAAGACAUUGUGUCAAACUUGGGUUAAGCAUGACAAGAAUUUCCCCAGUGUAAGAAGAUGACGUUUGCUGAAACGGACAGCGCGCUUUUGGAUGUGUUAACACUAUUACAGAAGACUGUGUGCUAGAUCAGACACUGCAUGGCAUCCCAGAACUGACAUGGAGCCAGUGUGACGGAGACAAGCUGCACAGAUGCUGGACCAUGUGCUGAGGCCAACUCAAUGGAAACAUGGCUAAAAACUACAAGAGAUACAGAGAUUACAGUAAUGCUAUUUGGCAGAGAAAAUUCUCAACUACAAAACACUUUUUUCAGCAUAGUCACCACCAUGAGCUGUGCAUUCUUGUCAGCAAUGAACAAGAGCCUGCAUGCCAUAAAAUCUACAUGGUCAUCCAGAAAUUGACUUGUCUUUCACACUGCUGUCACCACUGCUGAAACGCAUCUACCACCGCCUCACUGUGCUCACAUCCACUGGUUGGUAUCCAUAAAUGUUCAGCAAGCAUUGAUGUAUGUCAGCGGGUGCCAUCUCUUCUGCAUGGAGGAAUUCAGUGACAUGUUUUUGCUUCAUAAGCACUUCCGUGUCAGAUGCCACCGUGUCAGAGUGCCCCUCUGCUGCCAUCAGUCACACGGCAACAAAAUGUAAUGGGAUAUUGGUGGAAAGGUUCAGCCUCCACUGCCAUACUACCAGCAUAUGCUUCUGAUAUCAUGGGCUAACAAAAAAAAAAAAAAAUAGGAGGCACUACUUUCAGAGCAGCCCUCAGAUGAGUGUGUGUGUAUUCGUUGACAGAGAAAAACCUGUUCUGAUUGCCCGUGACAUCCUUGGAAUUACCUUGGUUAUUGUAGUGUAUUUACUUAGCACGGUGACAGUGCUUUGUCAGGUGGCUCUCCCUCUUUCAACACGGCCAUUUUUGCCAGUGUCUCUGGCUGUUUCUUUUGGUUCUUCUCAUAAGAAAUUGUCUUCUUUCUGUCCUGCACAGGUGCCAUGUUACCCUAACCAUGAGUAAGAAUGUCUUGUUUCCUACUGUUUUCUAUCUGUAGAGCCCCUUUCAGCGCCUCCUAGCUCAAGUUGGAGUGAAUGAUGGGAGACCCAAGUGCUGUACGGCAUUAGGCUUGGUGAUCUCCCAUGGAGAAAGGUUAAGACUUCUCUCCUGCAAGCAGAAACAUGUCUACUGUGGUUCUCUAGAAAGAAAGCAUCCUAUGCCAGCGACUGGUGUUGGUACACUGCCCUGUGAACGUUCUCAAAAAGCCAAGAGCUUAUCAGUGACAGUGGGGCAGGACCCCGGUUCAGGUUACUGCCACCCUCCAGGAGCAGGCCGGGCAGAUUCACCUCCAGUAUCGAUGUACCUUACUUGCAGUUUCCUUGGAAAAUCUACUUCUGACCAAAAGACCCAGAAACUAUUUUGAACAAAACAGCAUUUCCCUUUUACUUUUGCCUCAUAAGUAUGAAACAAUUGCAUUUGUAGACUGUUUCGACACGAGAAGCAAAAUUUCUGCUGAAAAUGGCUCUGUGAUUUCACACCUGUGAUUCAGAGCAAAACCUGGGAAGGACACAGAAGAAACCACACCCCAGGUGUGUGUAUCCGCAUUCCCACUGCAGAUGUGGCUAACGUGAUGGCUUCAUAAACAUAGAAUCAUAGAAUUGUAGGAUCAUUAAUGUUGGAAAGACCUCUAAGAUCACCUAAUCCAACCAUCAGCCUACCACCAGCAUGCCCGCUGACCACAUCUCCAUGGUUCUUGAACAUCUCCAGGGAUGGAGACUCCACCACCUCUCUGGCUGGUAUUCAAUGCUCUCUGCAAGCACUUGACAGUCCUUUGCACUGCUGCCUGUAUCUGCACACUGGAGGCCAACCUGCUGCUUGAAAGAAAAUCACUCUCAGAAUCACAGUGCCAGGGGAGCCUUCUCCUUAGGAACACCCUAUUCAGGAUCCUUCUGCUCCCAGUCUGUGAUAUCCAAUGCACAGGAAUACACACAGAGGAUCUGCCUCUCUUGGGCUCACUGCUCUCCAAUGCAAGCCUGCAGUUGCAGUCUGCAGUUUGGGCUCUGUUGGUAGCACUGCACUGGCUGCUGACCCUUCCAGGAAGUGCUUUCCUCCUGUACCUCCUCCCACCACCUUGCUUGCGAUCCCAAGUGCUGACCUACAGGAUACCGUGAUGAUCCAGCAUCACCUCCACUGGGCCCCCAGCUGCCGGCUAAUGGAGAGGCCCUGCUGCGCCACGUGUUCCUGUAAGCCUUGGGUCAUCCCAUUUCACGGCUUCUCAGAAGGCAUCUGUCAGUGCGUCCGUUUCAUGAAGUACACAGAACGGAGAUUAAGUUGCAUUUCAACCACCCUUUCCUUUCUUACCAAGCACUUUGCGUAGGAGUGGCAGCCCCUUUGUUAACUGAUGGGAAGAUAUGAGUUUGUGCUUCUGGUACAUCCCUAAUGGGGGAACAGUCCUUCCAGAACUCCCAGCAUCUCCUCUCCACUAAGGUGCUCAGCAAUCCUUCAGCUAGAAGAGGUGGAAAGAGAAAAGGUGGGCAGGUUUGCUAGCAUAGAGCUGCAAGAGAAGGAAGAAACUGAGAAAUGAAGAGCUGCAAUAACACGGGGACAUUUUUGCCAGAGGUACUAAUACCAAGAACAGCUGCCUGUCACUGAACUGCUUUUCCCCUUUGCUCACUAGGACACGUUAAAUAUGCAGAAGCUGCGUCACCUCCCUUGACAGACAACUUUGGAGAUGUUUCCUGUAUGUGGGGCUGCCUAAGAGUCUGCAGACAGUUGGAGCCAGCCCGGAGCUCCCAGAAAUCACGAGGGAAGCCAGGCUGUGCAGCCACCUCCCAGGGAUAUCACAAGUCCCUGCUGGGUGCAUGCAUGGUGCCACGAGGACCUCUGUUUGUGCAGGACCAUUGCUCUGAGAGUGCUUCCCCUGCUGCUAUUGCAGCUCUCUGCAAGACCUCAUAUUUCUCAACCGAUUUCCUUCCAGCCCCACAUUUGCGAGUGCUGAGGGCUGUGGCAAUUGAGUGAUCAAGCACUCUCCCUGCCAGCGUUUUCUACCCGGGCCUCGUGCUGACCCUCAGGGUUAUCAGAAAAGCCUUUCGUCAGACGUCAGCCGGAGCAGAAAUUGGCAUGGAGACAGCGCUGCAAUUCUGUAAGGCGUUGCACUUGUACUGGCAAAGGUGGAGAAUGCAGCCCUGGCAUUUAUGGUGCAUCAGCCCACGCAUGGUCACAGUGCCUGACGACGCAAAGAAGAAUUGCGGCUGUAAAAUUGCCCAUAGCAGCUGAGCAUCCACUUUGCCUUGCCUCAUCCUCAGGAUGCGGGGCGCUCUCUCAAGGAGCAGUUUCUCGCUGGUUUAACAGCCUGCAGGACCGCCCAGCUGCACGUUGCAGAGGAUGCUUGGCUGUGAGAUCCCAGCCCCAUGCCCAAGGGGUGCGUGCACACAAAAAUGGGGCCACCUAAGCCAGAUACGGGCUAGAUGGGAGGGUGGGGGACAGCCCUCCAGAAGAAAGGAAGCCGUAAGUAGAGCUGCCUCCUUGCUUGGUGCCGCCUCCAAGAGCCCCCAGGGCAGUGGCACAGCCUGGCUGCAGCCCCCAGCAGACCCUUGGGGCACAGCCACAGAGGCUGCUGGAAAAUGAAACUUCAGCCCUGCUGGCAGCCACCCAAUUUCAACAAUUUUUUGUUUCGUUCUUGAAAGAAGGCAAAGGGGGAAGCUUUGUUUUCUCCCGGGCUUCUCAGAAAUGCUUAUUUGGGAACGGGGCAUUUUCAAAUGUCAUAUUUGGAUGGAAAAUGCCUUAUCUAGUAAGAAUAGUUAAUCUUCCUCCAGUCUGAGAUGCCUGAAAACAUCCCACUUGGCUCUCCUCCAUGCAGCGGACGGCUGACUCCCAGCCCUGCUGCCACGUGCUCAGUGCAUGGGGGGACAUGGGGAGUACGGGCUGGUUCCUCUGUGCCCAGAAGCACUUGGGAAGGGGCUUGUUCCUGUGCCGUGCUUUGAAAGCGGUGACCAAACCCUGUCAGCGUGUUCCUGAGACUGGGCUGCUGCCCCUCGUAUAACCACAAGCCAGAUUCGCACUGAUGUUACCAGGAGCAACUCUGUUGACUUCCGCAAGGUUCUACUCAAUGACACCGCAUAAACGACAGGACACUGAAAAUAGCCCAAGAAAUCAGAUUUUCAACAUAAUCAACUGGUGCUUUCUGAAAAGGAAAAAAAAAAAAAGAAAAGAAAAAAUGCAGCUAUCCUGCAAGCAGCACCCCAGCAAUCCUAUGAUGGUAAUUAAAAUCCUGGAUUCUCUUCAGUGUAACCCUCUGAUGCAGCGUUACCGUCUCCAGGCCGUCCCAAGGCACAGGUGAUUGCUUCUCCUUAGAGCACCAAAUCCCCGGUCACUUCUUCCCAUUUGGGAAGAAAAAAAAUCACGAGUCUUUUAAAAAGAAAUAAAAAUGUUACUUUCCCACCUGGGGCUGUCCUUCUUGGGUGUUCUUUCUAAAAAGACUGGUUCUAUUUGCCAGACUAAAACACUUAAUCAAUUUGAAAUGAAAACAGCAACUAUAAUUAAAGGGAGGAAAAUCCCACCACAGCAGAGGAACCAUUAUUAAGGUAAUUUUUUCUUUAUAAC